GAUGAACGCUGGCGGCGUGCCUAAUACAUGCAAGUCGAGCGAACAGAUGAGGAGCUUGCUCCUCUGACGUUAGCGGCGGACGGGUGAGUAACACGUGGAUAACCUACCUAUAAGACUGGGAUAACUUCGGGAAACCGGAGCUAAUACCGGAUAAUAUAUUUAACCGCAUGGUUCAAUAGUGAAAGACGGUUUUGCUGUCACUUAUAGAUGGAUCCGCGCCGCAUUAGCUAGUUGGUAAGGUAACGGCUUACCAAGUCAACGAUGCGUAGCCGACCUGAGAGUGUGAUCGGCGACAAUGGAACUGAGACACGGUCCAGACUCCUACGGGAGGCAGCAGUAGGGAAUCUUCCGCAAUGGGCGAAAGCCUGACGGAGCAACGCCGCGUGAGUGAUGAAGGUCUUCGGAUCGUAAAACUCUGUUAUUAGGGAAGAACAAAUGUGUAAGUAACUAUGCACGUCUUGACGGUACCUAAUCAGAAAGCCACGGCUAACUACGUG
rnacentral:rRNA from 1 species